rnacentral:rRNA from 1 species
UACGUAGGGUGCAAGCGUUUGUCCGGAAUUAUUGGGCGUAAAGAGCUCGUAGGCGGUCUGUCGCGUCGGCUGUGAAAUCCCGAGGCUCAACCUCGGGUCUGCAGUCGAUACGGGCAGACUAGAGUGCGGUAGGGGGUGACUGGAAUUCCUGGUGUAGCGGUGAAAUGCGCAGAUAUCAGGAGGAACACCGAUGGCGAAGGCAGGUCUCUGGGCCGAUACUGACGUGAGGAGCGAAAGCGUGGGGGGAGCGAAACAGGG